rnacentral:rRNA from 1 species
AUGGCUCGCCCCCGCCUCCGGCUGCUCCUCCUCGUCGCCGCCGUCCUCCUCCUCCUCCACCCGGCCCUCUCCUCGGCGUCGGAGGGGCUGGAGGACCCCCUCAUCGAGCAGGUGGUCGGGGGCGACGCGGAGAACGAGCUGGAGCUCAACGCGGAGGCGCACUUCGCGACCUUCGUGCGGCGGUUCGGCAAGUCCUACAGGGAUGCCGACGAGCACGCGCACCGGCUCUCCGUGUUCAGGGCCAACCUCCGCCGCGCGCGCCGCCACCAGCGCCUCGACCCCUCCGCGGUGCACGGCAUCACCAAGUUCUCCGACCUCACCCCCGACGAGUUCCGGGAGCGCUUCCUCGGCCUCCGCAAGUCCCGCCGGAGCUUCCUCAAGGGGAUCUCCGGGUCGGCGCACGACGCGCCGGCCCUCCCCACCGACGGCCUCCCCACAGAGUUCGACUGGCGCGAGCACGGCGCGGUCGGCCCAGUCAAGGACCAGGGUUCGUGCGGGUCGUCCAACUACCUCGCCACCGGGAAGCUGGAGGUGCUCAGCGAGCAGCAGCUGGUCGACUGCGACCACGAGUGUGACCCGUCAGAACCACGCGCAUGUGACGCGGGAUGCAAUGGUGGCUUGAUGACUACAGCUUUCAGCUAUCUCGCAAAAGCUGGUGGCUUAGAAACCGAGAAGGAUUACCCGUACACUGGGAAGAACAGUGCCUGCAAGUUUGACAAAUCCAAAAUUGCUGCUCAAGUUAAGAAUUUUAGUACUGUUGCUAUUGACGAAGAUCAGAUUGCUGCUAACCUUGUGAAACAUGGCCCACUUGCAAUUGGUAUCAAUGCAGUAUUCAUGCAAACGUACAUUGGUGGUGUCUCAUGCCCAUACAUCUGCGGAAGGCAUCUUGAUCAUGGUGUUCUCCUGGUUGGCUAUGGAUCAGCUGGUUACGCACCGCUCCGCUUCAAGGAGAAACCAUACUGGAUCAUAAAGAACUCAUGGGGCGAAAACUGGGGCGAGAGCGGGUACUACAAGAUCUGCAGGGGUCCGCAUGUCAAAAACAAGUGCGGUGUCGAUUCCAUGGUCUCCACGGUUACCGCCAUCCAUACCUCUAAGAAGGAAUAA